rnacentral:rRNA from 1 species
AUUGAACGCUGGCGGCAGGCCUAACACAUGCAAGUCGAGCGGAGCGGCGGACGGGUGAGUAAUGCCUAGGAAUCUGCCUGGUAGUGGGGGAUAACGUCCGGAAACGGGCGCUAAUACCGCAUACUAUCAGAUGAGCCUAGGUCGGAUUAGGUAGUUGGUGGGGUAAAGGCCCACCAAGGCGACGAUCUCUAGCUGGUCUGAGAGGAUGACCAGCCACACUGGAACUGAGACACGGCCCAGACUCCUACGGGAGGCAGCAGUGGGGAAUAUUGGGCAAUGGGGGCAACCCUGACGCAGCCAUGCCGCGUGAAUGAAGAAGGCCUUCGGAUUGUAAAGUACUUUCAGUUGCGAGGCGUUAACUACAGAAGAAGCACCGGCUAACUCCGUGCCAGCAGCCGCGGUAAUUC